rnacentral:rRNA from 1 species
GAUGCGACGCGAAAAACCUUACCUACCCUUGACAUGCCAGGAAGAUUCCAGAGAUGGGAUUGUGCCCGAAAGGGAACCUGGACACAGGUGCUGCAUGGCUGUCGUCAGCUCGUGUCGUGAGAUGUUGGGUUAAGUCCCGCAACGAGCGCAACCCUUGUCAUUAAUUGCCAUCAUUUGGUUGGGCACUUUAAUGAGACUGCCGGUGAUAAACCGGAGGAAGGUGGGGAUGACGUCAAGUCCUCAUGGCCCUUAUGGGUAGGGCUUCACACGUAAUACAAUGGUCGGUACAGAGGGUUGCCAACCCGCAAGGGGGAGCCAAUCCCAGAAAGCCGAUCGUAGUCCGGAUUGUAGUCUGCAACUCGACUACAUGAAGUCGGAAUCGCUAGUAAUCGCGGAUCAGCAUGUCGCGGUGAAUACGUUCCCGGGUCUUGUACACACCGCCCGUCACACCAUGGGAGUGGAAUCUGCCAGAAGUAGGUAGCCUAACCGCAAGGAGGGCGCUUACCACGGUGGGUUUCAU